CGGACUGAUUAGAGAAGGAAGCUCUGAUUUGAAGAGAGCCUAUUUUCUGCCUGCUUUUAUGUUUUUAAACAAUGUGCUCUCCACAAGUGAGAUGGGAAAAGUAGGAACCUCAAAGAAUGAUAUUUAUUAAUUUAAAAAGCUUAGGCCUAUGACCACCUGUCCUGUCCCUUUAAGUUCAUAAGAAUGGCCACAAUUUUAGUGAGUUCUUCUCGUGUCCAGAAACUACUAAGGUGCAUUCUAAACGUGUUCUCGUUUAAUCUUCAUGAUAACUCUAUGAGAUUGGUACCACUGCUAGUCCACUUUGCAGAUGGGCAAGCUGAGGCCCAGAAAGAGUAAGUGCACACAGCUUUUAAGUGAUGGAGCUGGUGUUUGAACCCGGCAGUCUGCCUCCAUGUUCUUCCCUGCCGUGAAACAAUGCAAGUACCCAGGAGCUUUCAUGACGAGAACAGCUCAAGAGAAAGACAUGAUGUUACCCCAAGGGUACCCGAAUGGAAGCCAGUUUGUGCUUGAGAGAAAUCUGAAGGCUACGAGUUCAAUAAAGCUGAACAAGCCCUGUUGAACCAAGCAGGGUUUGAGUUUGCAGCUUAUUUUCCGGCCAGAGGGAGUUCAUUGACUUGGAGGAAGAAAGAGGGUCAUUUAAUGGACAUACAGAAAAUAUUUUUAUUUACACCUAUUUUUUCCCUAGCAGACAGUCAAAUCUUCCAAGCCAUCGUUCAUUCCUUCUGUUGGCCUUCCUACCUGGGAUUGUUUCACAGAGGCCUGAAGCUGAGUCCUGGGUGCCCCGCUGGCCAGGCCUGCCUUUCAUUUCAUCAAGGUUGUCCCAAAAGGGAAACUCAAGAAUCGGUGAUGAGCACAGCAGGAGACAGAGCCAGAGCUGGCUGCCUAUCUCAAAAGGGCACAUCACCAUAAUCACGGAUCUACCGUGAGCAUAUGCAGAAAGAAGAUGCUACAAACAUGGACCAAUUUAAAUGACUCCAGGAAUGCAUCGGAACCUCACAUAAGGAGCAAUUCAGAUUAAGAAACAUACUUGGAAAAAGCAUAAAG
rnacentral:lncRNA from 1 species